rnacentral:rRNA from 1 species
GACGAACGCUGGCGGCGUGCUUAACACAUGCAAGUCGAACGGAAAGGCCCUGCUUUUGUGGGGUGCUCGAGUGGCGAACGGGUGAGUAACACGUGAGUAACCUGCCCUUGACUUUGGGAUAACUUCAGGAAACUGGGGCUAAUACCGGAUAGGAGCUCCUGCUGCAUGGUGGGGGUUGGAAAGUUUCGGCGGUUGGGGAUGGACUCGCGGCUUAUCAGCUUGUUGGUGGGGUAGUGGCUUACCAAGGCUUUGACGGGUAGCCGGCCUGAGAGGGUGACCGGCCACAUUGGGACUGAGAUACGGCCCAGACUCCUACGGGAGGCAGCAGUGGGGAAUAUUGCACAAUGGGCGGAAGCCUGAUGCAGCAACGCCGCGUGCGGGAUGACGGCCUUCGGGUUGUAAACCGCUUUCGCCUGUGACGAAGCGUGAGUGACGGUAAUGGGUAAAGAAGCACCGGCUAACUAUG